rnacentral:miRNA from 1 species
UAUCUUUCAGAAGGUUUGGGA